rnacentral:rRNA from 1 species
AGCGAGCGCUGGCGGCAGGCCUAACACAUGCAAGUCGAGCGCCGUAGCAAUACGGAGCGGCAGACGGGAGAGUAACACGUGGGAACGUACCCUUUGGUUCGGAACAACCCAGGGAAACUAGGGCUAAUACCGGAUAAGCCCUCACGGGGAAAGAUUCAUCGCCGAAGGAUCGGCCCGCGUCUGAUUAGCUAGUUGGUGGGGUAAUGGCCCACCAAGGCGACGAUCAGUAGCUGGUCUGAGAGGAUGAUCAGCCUCACUGGGACUGAGACACGGCCCAGACUCCUACGGGAGGCAGCAGUGGGGAAUAUUGGACAAUGGGCGCAAGCCUGAUCCAGCCAUGCCGCGUGGGUGAUGAAGGCCCUAGGGUUGUAAAGCCCUUUCGGCGGGGAAGAUAAUGACGGUACCCGCAGAAGAAGCCCCGGCUAACUUCGUGCCAGCCGCCGCAGUAACAC